CCUACGGGGGGCAGCAGUGAGGAAUAUUGGUCAAUGGGCGCGAGCCUGAACCAGCCAAGUCGCGUGAGGGAGGACGGCCCUACGGGUUGUAAACCUCUUUUGCCGGGGAGCAACGGGCGCCACGUGUGGCGUCACUGAGAGUACCCGGAGAAAAAGCAUCGGCUAACUCCGUGCCAGCAGCCGCGGUAAUACGGGGGAUGCGAGCGUUAUCCGGAUUUAUUGGGUUUAAGGGGGGCGUAGGCGGAUCGUUAAGUCAUUGGUCAAAUUGAGGGGCUCAACCCCUUCCCGCCAUUGAAACUGGCGUUCUUGAGUUGAAGAGAAGUAGGCGGAAUGCGUGGUGUAGCGGUGAAAUGCAUAGAUAUCACGCAGAACCCCGAUUGCGAAGGCAGCAUGCCGGCUUCCGACUGACGCUGAAGCACGAAAGCGUGGGGAUCGAACAGGAUUAGAUACCCUUGUAGUC
rnacentral:rRNA from 1 species